UGCAAGUCGAACGGUGUCUUCGGACAUAGUGGCGCACGGGUGCGUAACACGUAUGCAACCUACCUUACAUUGGGGGAUAGCCUUUCGAAAGGGAGAUUAAUACCGCAUAAGACAGUAGCUGGGCAUCCAGCAGCUGUUAAAGAUUUAUCGAUGUAAGAUGGGCAUGCGUCCAAUUAGUUAGUUGGCGAGGUAACGGCUCACCAAGACUUUGAUUGGUAGGGGAACUGAGAGGUCAAUCCCCCACACUGGCACUGAGAUACGGGCCAGACUCCUACGGGAGGCAGCAGUAGGGAAUAUUGGGCAAUGGACGCAAGUCUGACCCAGCCAUGCCGCGUGCAGGAUGAAGGCGUUAUGCGUUGUAAACUGCUUUUAUACAGGAAGAAACGACUCUUGCGAGAGGCAUUGACGGUACUGUAUGAAUAAGCACCGGCUAACUCCGUGCCAGCAGCCGCGGUAAUACGGAGGGUGCAAGCGUUGUCCGGAUUUAUUGGGUUUAAAGGGUGCGCAGGUGGUUUAUUAAGUCAGUGGUGAAAGACGGUCGCUCAACGAUUGCAGUGCCAUUGAAACUGGUAGACUUGAGUAAAGUAGAGGUGGGCGGAAUUGAUAGUGUAGCGGUGAAAUGCAUAGAUAUUAUCAAGAACUCCAAUUGCGUAGGCAGCUCACUUGGCUUUUACUGACACUCAUGCACGAAAGUGUGGGU
rnacentral:rRNA from 1 species